UACGUAGGGUGCAAGCGUUGUCCGGAAUUAUUGGGCGUAAAGAGCUCGUAGGCGGUUUGUCGCGUCUGCUGUGAAAACCGGAGGCUCAACCUCCGGCCUGCAGUGGGUACGGGCAGACUAGAGUGCGGUAGGGGAGAUUGGAAUUCCUGGUGUAGCGGUGGAAUGCGCAGAAUAUCAGGAGGAACACCGGUGGCGAAGGCAGAUCUCUGGGCCGUAACUGACGCUGAGGAGCGUAAGCAUGGGGAGCGAACAGG
rnacentral:rRNA from 1 species